ensembl:lncRNA
CACCCGCCAUGCCGCCCGCGCUCACCGCGCCGCGCCCGGAAGUGACGCACGCAGGCUCCGCGGGCCCGCCCCCGACAGGCCCCGCCCUGCGAGCGCCGAGCCCUCCCCUCCCCCGGAAGUGCAGCCUGCGGGACUUCCGGCUCCCGCUGCGGCCUCGGGGCUCUGUGCUGUGGGGUUCCGCGCGCCCGGGCAGCGAGGGCUGGGCGCCAUGUUUGCGAAAAGGGGCUGCAGCACCAACCCCUGGGCCUCUCGGCACCUGGCCCUCAGGCGAGGGGAGUCUGACUUCUCCAGAAGGGCGUCCCCGCGCCCUCCUGAGGGAGACUCUGCAGCUCUGUGGUUGAGGAACCUCAGAAACAGGGUUUCUGGCCCCUUGGCCCUGGGUUCCUGGACCUUGAAGGAAGCACGGGGAGCUGAGAGAAAAGCAGGGCUGGACGUCACUUUAAGCGCCGAAAACAUCCCCGUCAGGACCCUUGACGUAGCGCGCAAGAGACCUCAGUGUGGGGCCCUCUGGGUUCACCCAAAUGCCUGUUGACUGAAAAAAAACACACGACCUAAAAGUCGGGAGUUAGGUUUUAUUCCUUGGACAAAACUGAGGACUUAAGCCCAGGACGCAGCAUCUCGGAUAGCUGAGGGACUGCCCCGAAGAGCCUCCUGACUGCAGGCACUCAGGCAGCUGAAACCUGGACCAGCAAGACUUCCAGGUAUCGCAGUCUUGGAACAGGAACAAAACCCUGGGACUCCCUGAAAUUCUGACUUUUCUUGAGGGAAACAAACACCAUCGACACCGAGCCCAGUUUAUAAGGGUCUGGGGAGUGUUUCACCGGAAAGGGCGUAAAUCCUCUUCCCCAGGCCGGGAGUGGAAGCAGCACCUGCUCGUGGAGGCCGGUGCCAUCUCUCCGGCCAGGUGCCCGCGCGGUGCCAUCUCCGGCCAGGUGCCCGCGCAUGGCCUGGCGGUGCCCCCGGCUGUGGAGCUUUAUGUCAGCAGGAGUAUUUUUAUUUAAUGUCAUAUGGUAAACACAAAGAAAAUCCUCUGUUUUUGCACCUAAUUUCAGCAGGGCACAGAAUUAAGAGUUUAGCUGGUUGCCUUGUUUUCUGCUGAACUUAGGCUUCAGUAUUUUUGUUCCUGGAGCGAAGCUUCCUGCCCUCAUUAGAGAGAUUGAAAACUUCCUUGUACUCAUAUCUUACACUAUUUGUUUAGUUCUUUAAUAAAUG